rnacentral:rRNA from 1 species
UAGUAACGGCGAGUGAAGCGGCAACAGCUCAAAUUUGAAAUCUGGCCUCGGCCCGAGUUGUAAUUUGUAGAGGAUGCUUUAGGCGCGGCUCCUUCUGAGUGCCCUGGAACGGGACGCCACAGAGGGUGAGAGCCCCGUAUAGUUGGAAGCCUAGCCUGUGUAAAGCUCCUUCGACGAGUCGAGUAGUUUGGGAAUGCUGCUCAAAAUGGGAGGUAAAUUUCUUCUAAAGCUAAAUACCGGCCAGAGACCGAUAGCGCACAAGUAGAGUGAUCGAAAGAUGAAAAGCACUUUGAAAAGAGGGUUAAAUAGCACGUGAAAUUGUUGAAAGGGAAGCGCUUGUGACCAGACUUGCGCCGGGCUGAUCAUCCGGAGUUCUCUCCGGUGCACUCUGCCCGGCUCAGGCCAGCAUCGGUUCUCGCGGGGGGAUAAAGGCCUCGGGAACGUAGCUCCUCCGGGAGUGUUAUAGCCCGGGGCGUAAUGCCCUCGCGGGGACCGAGGUUCGCGCAUCUGCAAGGAUGCUGGCGUAAUGGUCAUCAGCGACC